rnacentral:rRNA from 1 species
CAGAGGGGGCAAGCGUUAUUCGGAAUUAUUGGGCUAAAGGGCGCGUAGGCGGCCUUGCAAGUGACGGGUGAAAUCCCUCGGCUUAACCGAGGAACUGCCUGUCAGACUGCAUGGCUUGAGACCGGGAGAGGUGAGUGGAAUCCCCAGUGUAGCGGUGAAAUGCGUAGAUAUUGGGAGGAACACCAGUGGCGAAGGCGGCUCACUGGACCGGUACUGACGCUGAGGCGCGAAAGCGUGGGGAGCAAACAGGAUUAGAUACCCUGGUAGUCCACGCCGUAAACGAUGAGUGCUUGGUGUAGCGGGUAUCGACCCCUCGCUGUGCCGAAGUCAACACAUUAAGCACUCCGCCUGGGGAGUACGGUCGCAAGACUG